UACGAAGGGAGCUAGCGUUGUUCGGAAUCACUGGGCGUAAAGCGCACGUAGGCGGAUUUGCCAGUCAGGGGUGAAAUCCCGGGGCUCAACCUCGGAACUGCCUUUGAUACAGCAAGUCUUGAGUUCGAGAGAGGUGGGUGGAAUUCCUAGUGUAGAGGUGAAAUUCGUAGAUAUUAGGAAGAACACCAGUGGCGAAGGCGGCUUACUGGUCCGGAACUGACGCUGAGGUGCGAAAGCGUGGGGAGCGA
rnacentral:rRNA from 1 species